rnacentral:rRNA from 1 species
GACGAACGCUGGCGGCGUGCCUAAUACAUGCAAGUCGAGCGGAAGUUGGAGAGCUUGCUCUUCAACUUUAGCGGCGGACGGGUGAGUAACACGUGGGCAACCUGCCCUGCAGAUCGGGAUAACUCCGGGAAACCGGUGCUAAUACCGAGUAGUUUUCGCCACCUCCUGGUGGCGUACGGAAAGACGGUUUCGGCUGUCACUGCAGGAUGGGCCCGCGGCGCAUUAGCUAGUUGGUGGGGUAACGGCCCACCAAGGCGACGAUGCGUAGCCGACCUGAGAGGGUGAUCGGCCACACUGGGACUGAGACACGGCCCAGACUCCUACGGGAGGCAGCAGUAGGGAAUCUUCCGGAAUGGACGAAAGUCUGACGGAGCAACGCCGCGUGAGUGACGAAGGUUUUCGGAUCGUAAAACUCUGUUGUGAGGGAAGAACAAGUACCAAUUAACUACUGGUACCUUGACGGUACCUCACCAGAAAGCCACGGCUAACUACGUGCCAGCCGCCGCCGUAACAC